rnacentral:rRNA from 1 species
UACGAAGGGGGCUAGCGUUGUUCGGAAUUACUGGGCGUAAAGCGUAUGUAGGCGGAUCGUUAAGUCGGGGGUGAAAACUCGGGGCUCAACCCCGAGCCUGCAGUCGAUACGGGCAGACUAGAGUGCGGUAGGGGAGACUGGAAUUCCUGGUGUAGCGGUGAAAUGCGCAGAUAUCAGGAGGAACACCGGUGGCGAAGGCGGGUCUCUGGGCCGUAACUGACGCUGAGGAGCGAAAGCGUGGGGAGCAAACAGG